GCCAGACUCCUACGGGAGGCAGCAGUCGGGAAUAUUGCGCAAUGGAGGGAACUCUGACGCAGUGACGCCGCGUAUAGGAAGAAGUUUUUCGGAAUGUAAACUAUUGUCGUUAGGGAAGAGAAAGGACGGUACCUAAGGAGGAAGCCCCGGCUAACUAUGUGCCAGCAGCCGCGGUAAUACAUAGGGGGCAAGCGUUAUCCGGAAUUAUUGGGUGUAAAGGGUACGUAGACGGGAAAUUAAGUUAGUUGUGAAAUCCCCAGGCUCAACUUGGGAAUUGCAACUAAAACUGGUUUUCUUGGGUACUGGAGAGGAAAGUGGAAUUCCUAGUGUAGCGGUGAAAUGCGUAGAUAUUAGGAGGAACACCAGUGGCGAAGGCGACUUUCUGGACAGAAACUGACGUUGAGGCACGAAAGUGUGGGGAGCAAACAGGAUUAGAUACCCCAGUAACG
rnacentral:rRNA from 1 species